UCCAUCUUCAUUUCGACCUAAAGUUUGUUCUAUAUAAACCCCCUCACCCUUACUAUUCAGGGCAGGAGUUUUUUGAGCCGAGAAAAAAAAUGUCGCGCCAUGUUUUUGGGAAUUCUUAUUUUCUUCAUUGAAUUUUAUUUGAUUUGCGACUAUUUUGAGUCGGAGUGGAGUUAGAAUUCGUCAGGUCUCGGAUUAAGUAACCUGAUCUUAAUGGUGUAGUGAAGGCAAGGGUAAUCAAUAAUCCCUGAAGAAAUGCAUGUUUGAACAGAUAUAAGAAUACUGGAUUCGCAGCAUGGAGUGAUACCUUAGCAAUCAUGUGCAUCUGAAGAGAUAAAUAAAAUCUAGAAUAAUAAGGGAGCUAAUUCCUCAAAAUUUUCGCUCUCCUGGAAAAAAAAGGAAAACAAAGUCAAAUAUCUUAUUACCAUUAUUUUCCUUUUCCUGAAAAGGAAAAUUUUCGAGGAUUGGACCCCCUUAUGUUGGUACCUCAUUUGAUUCUAUCACUUCGUGCCUACAGAUAUUUAGAAAAGUUUUCAAUUACAAUUGUAGAUUUUAUUCCUCUAAAUUACAAAUCAAUCGGAAGUUGACAA